AUGCCGAUUGCGAAGAUGGCGGAGAAGCUGCUAUGCCAGCGCAUGGGCGUCGUGGAUGAAGGCCAACAAGUCACAGAGGAAGCCAUUGACAAAUUUGUGGCCAUGUUCCAAGGGCAGCUCCCUGACAUCACAGUGGCGGCUCUCCGGGCGUUGUUCAACCUCGACUGUGACUUGGCGCAAGCCGUCGAGGAUGCCCUGGUGGCUCAUGGUGGUGAGGCGGGUCCGGAGCUGCAGGCGGUGAUGGGGGACGCGUCCGGCUCGGCGGAGUGA
rnacentral:rRNA from 1 species